CCUACGGGUGGCAGCAGUGGGGAAUAUUGGACAAUGGGCGAAAGCCUGAUCCAGCCAUGCCGCGUGUGUGAAGAAGGCCUUCGGGUUGUAAAGCACUUUCAGUGGGGAAGAAAGCCUUGGGGCUAAUACCCUCGAGGAAGGACAUCACCCACAGAAGAAGCACCGGCUAACUCCGUGCCAGCAGCCGCGGUAAUACGGAGGGUGCGAGCGUUAAUCGGAAUUACUGGGCGUAAAGCGCGCGUAGGCGGUCUGAUAAGCCGGUUGUGAAAGCCCCGGGCUCAACCUGGGAACGGCAUCCGGAACUGUCAGGCUGGAGGGCAGGAGAGGAAGGUAGAAUUCCCGGGGUAGCGGUGAAAGGCGUAGAGAUCGGGAGGAAUACCAGUGGCGAAGGCGGCCUUCUGGACUGACACUGACGCUGAGGUGCGAAAGCGUGGGUAGCAAACAGGAUUAGAUACCCCAGUGUC
rnacentral:rRNA from 1 species